rnacentral:rRNA from 1 species
UACGAAGGGGGCUAGCGUUGCUCGGAAUCACUGGGCGUAAAGCGCACGUAGGCGGAUCUUUAAGUCAGGGGUGAAAUCCCAAGGCUCAACCUUGGAACUGCCUUUGAUACUGGGGAUCUCGAGUCCGGAAGAGGUUGGUGGAACUGCGAGUGUAGAGGUGAAAUUCGUAGAUAUUCGGAAGAACACCAGUGGCGAAGGCGACUUACUGGACGAUUGUUGACGCUGAGGUGCGAAAGCGUGGGGAGCAAACAGG